GACGAACGCUGGCGGCGUGCUUAACACAUGCAAGUCGAACGGAAAGGCCCUGCUUGCAGGGUACUCGAGUGGCGAACGGGUGAGUAACACGUGGGUGAUCUGCCCUGCACUUCGGGAUAAGCCUGGGAAACUGGGUCUAAUACCGGAUAGGAGCCAUUUUUAGUGUGAUGGUUGGAAAGUUUUUUCGGUGUAGGAUGAGCUCGCGGCCUAUCAGCUUGUUGGUGGGGGAAUGGCCUACCAAGGCGGCGACGGGUAGCCGGCCUGAGAGGGUGGACGGCCACAUUGGGACUAAGAUACGGCCCAGACUCCUACGGGAGGCAGCAGUGGGGAAUAUUGCACAAUGGGCGCAAGCCUGAUGCAGCGACGCCGCGUGGGGGAUGACGGCCUUCGGGUUGUAAACUCCUUUCGCUAGGGACGAAGCUUUUUGUGACGGUACCUAGAGAAGAAGCACCGGCUAACUACGUG
rnacentral:rRNA from 1 species